rnacentral:rRNA from 1 species
CCUACGGGAGGCAGCAGUGGGGAAUUUUGGACAAUGGACGCAAGUCUGGUCCAGCCAUUCCGCGUGCAGGACGAAGGCCUUCGGGUUGUAAACUGCUUUUGUACGGAACGAAAAAGCUCUUAUUAAUACUAGGAGUCCAUGACGGUACCGUAAGAAUAAGCACCGGCUAACUACGUGCCAGCAGCCGCGGUAAUACGUAGGGUGCAAGCGUUAAUCGGAAUUACUGGGCGUAAAGCGUGCGCAGGCGGUUAUAUAAGACAGAUGUGAAAUCCCCGAGCUUAACUUGGGAACUGCAUUUGUGACUGUAUAGCUAGAGUACGGCAGAGGGGGAUGGAAUUCCGCGUGUAGCAGUGAAAUGCGUAGAUAUGCGGAGGAACACCGAUGGCGAAGGCAAUCCCCUGGGCCUGUACUGACGCUCAUGCACGAAAGCGUGGGGAGCAAACAGGAUUAGAUACCCUGGUAGUCCACGCCCUAAACGAUGUCAACUGGUUGUUGGGUCUUCACUGACUCAGUAACGAAGCUAACGCGUAGAAGUUGACCGCCGNGGGAGGUACGGUCCGGCGAGGUUAGUUAAACGUACGAAAGUUAGUAAGUUAGACGGCGUGAGACGNGCGACGGACGACGACGAGGGAGGAGG